rnacentral:rRNA from 1 species
UCGAGAAUCUUCGGCAAUGGGCGCAAGCCUGACCGAGCGACGCCGCGUGCGGGUAGAAGGCCUUCGGGUUGUAAACCGCUGUCAGAGAGGCGGAAAUGCAUGAGGGUUCUCUCUCAUGUUUGACCUAAUCUCAGAGGAAGCGCAGGCUAAGUUCGUGCCAGCAGCCGCGGUAAGACGAACUGCGCGAACGUUAUUCGGAAUCACUGGGCUUAAAGCGUGCGUAGGCGGUCUGGUAGGUGGGGUGUGAAAUCCCUCGGCUCAACCGAGGAAUGGCGCUUCAAACCGCCAGGCUGGAGGGAGAUAGAGGUGAGCGGAACUGAUGGUGGAGCGGUGAAAUGCAUUGAUAUCAUCAGGAACACCGGUGGCGAAAGCGGCUCACUGGGUCUCUUCUGACGCUGAGGCACGAAAGCCAGGGUAGCGAACGGGAUUAGAUACCCCCGUAGUCC